CCAUCCCUAUUAUCUCCCCCCCCCUCCCCCCCUCUGCAACUGCAAACUACAAAAUCUACAAGAAUCAGAAGGUUUUCAGUUUAUCUAUCUUCCUGCAAGAAUCAAAAUUUCAAGGCCUAUUACCUAUAUCAAAACCGAUAUCGGCAUAUCAUUUUCAGAUUGUUCAAAAAAUCAGAACCCAUAUCUUUCAGUUUCCAUCGCCCGCUGUUCCAGUUCGGAUUCGCAAAUUCGCAAGCUUCAGCCGCUGUCCCGCUGUCUCUCAACUCUCAAGCUUGCCCCCUCUCUCUCUGCAACUGCUAACUUGGUUAGCAUCGGGCCAUAACAUUUAGCAAGAACAAGGUUAAGAAAUAUGCCUCCUCGGUCAUCAGGUCUCUUUUCUGAAAGAAGAGAGUUGAUUGGAAUGGGUGGAGUAGGGAAAAAGAAAAGUUGGGUUACUAUCUAUCCCAUAUGUACAGUCAUCUAGAGGUUGGGGGAGUUUGACAUUUCUUUUAGCCAUUGCCGUUGCGACGUUUUAUACGGUAUUGUUAAUUAAAAGAUGCAUGGACGUGGAUCUGAACCUCACAACCUAUUAUAACAUAGGUGAACGUGCAUUUGGAAUAAGAUGUCGAUGACUCAUAUUAGGCUCCCAAAGUGACAAGUAAGAUUAGAUGACUACACAUGGGAGGAAGACAAAGUUUCGUAGUGAUAGUUGGCCUUGUGGUAAUGCCUACUGUCUGGUUCAACGACCUUAUCUCUGCCACUGGAGUGCUGACAUCUGCUAUAAUCCUUGGCUCGACUUUGUGGACUAGUGCAUUUGGUGGGAUUGGGUUUAAUGAGAAGGGGACGACUCUACAUUUGAAGGAAAUCCCUACCGUUACCGGCUUAUAUGCUUUUUGCUACAGCGCACAUCCUGUUUUCCCAACCCUCUACACUUAUAUGGCAGACAAGCUUCAAUUUACAAAGGUUAUGAUGCUGUGUUUUCUCUUUUGUAUCUUAGCGAAUGUGUCCAUGGCAGUCAUCGGGUAUCUAAUGUUUGGCUCAAAGGUGGAGUCACAGGGUGUUUGCACAAAAAAAUAACACCUACCUCAUACCAAGACUUGUUGAGCACAAUGUUGUGAUCGAGAGAGAAAGAAAACUCAAGAUCGAGCAUGCACGACAACUUCGGAAGAUCGGAGUGAAUUUGUUCUCCUAGAUUUCACCCAGAGACCAGGGCCGACUGUAUGUUUGAUCAAGUGUUUUGCACUUUCAAUGUCAUAAGUUAUUUGUUAUAACCUUAAGGGUAUUACAGUCAUUACCUCACCAUGCCAUGUUGGUGAGAUUAUACAGCAUUAUCAAUUCAGAGAUAUAAUGUGCUGUCCAGGUUAAUGAAGCUCAUGGUUCAACACAAGCACACUUGGUUCCUAUUCUAAGUAGUCACAGGGGCAUUAUUGUCUUUCUACAUGUGUAUACAACAUGGUUACACAUUCCUGGAGUGUUACAUCACUGUGUUGUGAUUAUAUUUAAGUGUGAACCAAUGUUAUACAAGCUGCAGCAGAGGAGUAUUAGUGUAUUCAAUGCAAGGGCAUUAUUGUCCAUUUAUUGUUGUGAGCACUGUGCUGCCACGUGGCUCUUUGGUCCUGCAGAGAGAAAGCUAUAUACUCACUCCAUUGGCUGUAGUGACAAUCUUAUCUAUAGUAGGGUUGCAAUGAGGACCCUAUAAAUAUGCUGUUAUAGAAUUCAGCAAAAGGUGCCUCUUUGAGUGAAAAAAAAGCUGAAUGUAGCUGCUGUGUGAGGUCCUUUCGAGGUCUAAAAUUAAGAACAUAUUUCAGUGGGUUUGAAAGAUAAUUUGAGCUUGAAUGAAGCACUGAAAUUUGCCAAAAGAAAGCACAGUUACAGUAAAGAUCAAGGAGUUGCUGAGGUGCUGAUUUUCUGGUGCAAAGAGAGGCUGAGGUGGUUCAAAAUGGCUGUGGUCAUUUCUAGAGCUUGAACAAGGGCUGAGCAAAUGUAUUUUGGUGGUUUACAACUAUUGAAGGUGACUAAAACCAUAUAUUGAGGCUAGUAUUGAAUUUCACAUCUCAAACCUCCAAUUUAGCUUAUUUUUCUGGUUUACACUUCUGAACCGAGCUUACCAUGUUAUACUCUUGCUAUACUUUGAUUGUACAUCAACUGAGCAUGAUUGUGUUGAUGUUAAGAAUUUGUUGAAGUUGAGUCUUUACCAGAAAUUUGACUUGUUCUUGUUUUCACUUUAUAAACCUCACAAUUUAGGGUUUUAAGUAUUAAAAGGCCUGUUGUGUGUACUGUGAGUGCAAUAUCUGUUUGUAUUUGCUGUUCUCUA